UUGUCUCAAAGAUUAAGCCAUGCAUGUCUCAGUACAAGCCGCAUUAAGGUGAAACCGCGAAAGGCUCAUUAAAUCAGUUAUGGUUCCUUAGAUCGUACCCACACUUACUUGGAUAACUGUGGUAAUUCUAGAGCUAAUACAUGCAAACAGAGCUCCGACCGGAGACGGGAGGAGUGCUUUUAUUAGAUCAAAACCAAUCGGCGGCGGGCGCGCGUCCGCGCGUCCGUUCGCCGCUCUACCUGGUGACUCUGAAUAACUUUACGCUGAUCGCACGGUCUCGCACCGGCGACGCAUCUUUCAAAUGUCUGCCUUAUCAACUGUCGAUGGUAGGUUCUGCGCCUACCAUGGUCGUAACGGGUAACGGGGAAUCAGGGUUCGAUUCCGGAGAGGGAGCCUGAGAAACGGCUACCACAUCCAAGGAAGGCAGCAGGCGCGCAAAUUACCCACUCCCGGCACGGGGAGGUAGUGACGAAAAAUAACGAUACGGGACUCAUCCGAGGCCCCGUAAUCGGAAUGAGUACACUUUAAAUCCUUUAACGAGGACCAAUUGGAGGGCAAGUCUGGUGCCAGCAGCCGCGGUAAUUCCAGCUCCAAUAGCGUA
rnacentral:rRNA from 1 species